CUGAGGACUUAGUGUCACCGAAGGCCCUGCUAGAAGAAAGCAGAAGGCGAGCAGAAACACUUGAGAAGGAGAGAGACCAAGCCUUACAAAAACUGCAUGAUUUUGAACCUCCCCAGCAGGGUAAAAGAGAAAGAAUCUCCACCAGAGUCUAAAAAACAGAAACCUGCUGGUUCAGACCUUGUAGAUCCUAACCAACAGAGGAGGCUGGUCACCGAGCAGGUGCUACACAGUGUGCAUAGUAAAACUCCUAAACACUUCAGCAGA
rnacentral:lncRNA from 1 species